GGUGACGUACGACGUAUACGUAACCUUACGUUGACUAGGGGGAUAACAUCGAGAAAUUGGUACUAAUACCCCAUAACAUCACCGGAGGCAUCUUCGGUGGUUGAAAACUCAGGUGGUCAGAGAUGGACAUGCGUUGUAUUAGCUAGUUGGUGAGGUAACGGCUCACCAAGGCGACGAUACAUAGGGGGACUGAGAGGUCAACCCCCCACAUUGGUACUGAGACACGGACCAAACUCCUACGGAAGGCAGCAG
rnacentral:rRNA from 1 species